CCUCUGAGGCAAGACUAUGGCGCCAAAGUCAACCUCUUCUCCCACUUGCACCAGUACAGCCGGAAGGUGCCGCUGACCCAGCAGAUGAGCAUCCCCGCCACGGCAAUCCAUCCGGCCGUGGUGCGGCUCGGCCUGCAGUACUCCCAGGGGCUGCUGAACGGCUCCAACGCACGCUGCCUCGCCCUGCUGCAAGUCUUCAGACAGGUGAUCCGGGAUUACUCAACGCCGCCCAACGAGGAGCUCUCGCGAGACCUGGUGGCCAGGCUGAAGCCCUA